rnacentral:rRNA from 1 species
UACGUAGGGUGCAAGCGUUUGUCCGGAAUUACUGGGCGUAAAGGGCUCGUAGGCGGCCAACUAAGUCGGAUGUGAAAUCCCCAGGCUUAACCUGGGAACUGCAUCCGAUACUGGAUGGCUUGAAUCCGGGAGAGGGAUGCAGAAUUCCAGGUGUAGCGGUGAAAUGCGUAGAUAUCUGGAGGAAUACCGGUGGCGAAGGCGGCAUCCUGGACCGGCAUUGACGCUGAGGAGCGAAAGCUAGGGGAGCAAACGGG